rnacentral:lncRNA from 1 species
AUGUUCGUCCCGCGCUGCACGGACACAGACCAGGAGGCCUUCUCCGAGGGGGACGCGGCAGACCCGGGAACAGCCCCAGCCUUCAGGCGUACCGGCGGGGCAACGGCCCCCUCAUCACGCCGCUCGCUGUCCUUCCCCGCCGGGUCCCGCUGUCCCGGAGCCAACGCAACCCCUUACCUUCCUCCAGCGGAGAAGGAGGGAGCGGGAGAACGGCGACAGGCGGCCCGCUCCCCUCAGCCCGCGCCGCCGCACCGGGAGGCGGAGGGACUCGCCAGUCCGCGCCGCCGCUGCCGGCCCGCUGCCAUCACCACCCCGGAACGGCGCCACUUCCGGCAUGAGGGAACCACUUCCGGUUCUCUCCCGACUGCAUCCGGGACGCGGCGGGAGGUGCCCGCCGGGCAGCCGUUGGCUGGCGGCCAUCUUGGCGCGGGCCCGCGCCCCGCUGUGGCGCUAUUGACCUCGCCCAAAAUGGCGGUCGGGUUUCCUGGUGGCGGCCCACGUUCUUCUGCCGCCCCUCAGUUACCGCCCCGGCCCCGAGCUUCACCUCUGUCUCUUGGCCGCAUUUGCCAGGUAGUGACAUCCCAGCUGAUCCAGAAUUAAAAAGUUUUCCAGGUGGCUCUGACCUUCUGUUUAUGUAUGGCUUUCUUCCUGAUGUUACAGGUAAUGAUGGAAAACUGAAUAGCUAUUGUAUGGUAUAUGGUAUCUAUGGUAUAGAGCCUCCUUCCUUAAAAGUGCUGGUGUUGGAGAGAAUAACUCAUAUUCUCCAUGUUAAAAUAGGGAUGCAUACAUAGUGAGACUCACGUGUUUAAUAUUCAGACUGUAAACAAGAGGAGAAGAUAGAGGCCUGCUGAAUCAAAUUAACUUUUAAUGGUCAAGUCCAG